AUGCCACGCUUCGCUUUUAGAUAAUUUUUUCUCCCUCUUCCUUGCCCCGUCGCGUCGAGACGAAGAACCACGCUUUCUCUGAGGUUUCCUAAUCGGAAAUGGAGAUCGAUUCCGUCGCAGCUGGAGGAGCUCUUAAACCAGAUGGAGAUCGAUUCCGUCGAGACGAAGAACCCCGCUUUUGAUAGGCGUGGGCGAUUACAGAUGCAAAGAGGCAAGGUUUAAUCCCCUCCGCCCUUAAACCAGGAGGAGCUCUCCGAUUUAAUCCCCGGCGCCGUCCGCUUCACCUUCCUAUCACUUGCUCUGUCUCUCCAUCAAACGCUGAACCAUCCUCCGGUGAAGAAGACGUUGGUGAGGAGGAAUGACGUGAGGAAUAUAGCAAUUGUAGCUCAUGUUGAUCAUGGCAAAACUACUUUGGUUGUUCUAUGCUUAGGCAAGCUAAGGCAAGGAGCAAAGUUAGUGUUGAAGCUAGGGCAUUGCAAAGACUGGGAGAGGUAUCAGUACAAGAGCUUCGAGCUCAACAUCGUCGUCUCGCAGGCGUGUUUAGCUGGCGUCUCUCUUCUUUGCGUUUCUCAUAACGUGAGAAAGCAUGGGAUUCGAAAGUUUUUCUUCGUUGAUCAGCUCAGUGGUCGUAUGGGACGGCUCAAGGCUCAGUAUAUUCAGCAAAUCUCGAACUCUGUGAGAUAAGCACAUACGUUUGCGUCAUUACCUUUCUAAGAUAAGUCACAGGUUCCGCAUCUUUCUGCUUCUACAGUUUCUGGUGUCACUGUUAGCCAGUUUACCACGCUUUUCCAGAUCACUGCGUAUAGCGGACGUAUCACGUAUAUAAACAGUGGUGAUUUCGCGGUCUCUGCGGUGGUCCAUGUUGUUGGGAUUAUUUUAUGUCUGCACGCAGCAACGAAGAUAUCUCAUAGAGCUCAAGCGAUAGCAUCAGUUGCAAGUAAAUGGCAUGCCAUAAUGUCGUGCUCAUCUACAGAUACAACUCAGAUAAGGACUUCUCCUAGUGGAGUUCCCUUGGAAGCCACCACGAAUCCACCCAUCUCCUUUCAGAAUUAGGCCUGUUUUGGUUUCACUGUAGAUGGCAAAUCCUCUAACAUCGGUGAUGUAUGCGGUCCAAGUGAUGAAAGUGGCGUCUUCUCACCUCGAUCUUUGUGAUAACAGUGAAGCUGGAGAUGGUGAUGUAGAAGAAUACAAUCAAGAAGAAAAGCACAGUACUUUUGAAGAAAAUGCCCACUAGGAAGAGGAGAUCAUUAAGGUGGAAGAAGAACACAACCCACCAAAUGAACUGGUUUCUGAUGAUCAAAAGAAACAGGAAAUAUAAAGACAGAUGUUGGAGUUGGAAUUUUCUUUCCGUUUUAUGUUCUUGGUAAUCUAUGGUGUAAGUAAGUAAGGUCUUACUGUUCGAACUACACUUUUGUGCUUUUCACAUGAAAACACAUUUUCGAAAUA